GGAGGGAGAAAACGUGGCCUUACCACAAUGAAGGGUACAGUCUGUAUAAAUAGGUGGGCGACAAAAAGGGGCGGUUCAAAGGGCGUGGUCAAUAGGCAGAGUCAAGGGGGGCAGCAAAAUUAGCUUUUGCCUAGGGUGGCAAAAAUCCUUGCACCAGUCCUGGCUGAAGUUGUCGCUGUUUUG